rnacentral:rRNA from 1 species
GUAGGGGGCGAGCGUUGUCCGGAAUUAUUGGGCGUAAAGAGCGUGUAGGCGGUUCGGUAAGUCUGCCGUGAAAACCUGGGGCUCAACCCCAGGCGUGCGGUGGAUACUGUCGGGCUAGAGGGUGGUAGAGGCGAGUGGAAUUCCCGGUGUAGCGGUGAAAUGCGCAGAUAUCGGGAGGAUCACCAGUAGCGAAGGCGGCUCGCUGGGCCAUACCUGACGCUGAGACGCGAAAGCGUGGGGAGCAAACAGGAUUAGAUACCCUGGUAGUCCACGCCGUAAACGAUGAACACUAGGUGUGGGCGGAGUCGAAUCUGUCCGUGCCGCAGCCAACGCGUUAAGUGUUCCGCCUGGGGAGUACGGCCGCAAGGCUA